GACGAACGCUGGCGGCGUGCUUAACACAUGCAAGUCGAACGAGAGCGUAGAGAAAGCUUGCUUUUUCUACAAUCUAGUGGCAAACGGGUGAGUAACGCGUAAACAACCUGCCCUACGGAUGGGGACAACAGCUGGAAACGGCUGCUAAUACCGAAUACGUUCCGAAAGUCGCAUGACUAUCGGAAGAAAGGAUGGCCUCUAUUUAUAAGCUAUCGCCGGAGGAGGGGUUUGCGUCUGAUUAGCUAGUUGGAGGGGUAACGGCCCACCAAGGCGACGAUCAGUAGACGGUAGGAGAGGAUGAACGGCCACAUUGGAACUGAGACACGGUCCAGACUCCUACGGGAGGCAGCAGUGGGGAAUCUUCCGCAAUGGGCGAAAGCCUGGCGGAGCAACGCCGCGUGAGUGAAGACGGCCUUCGGGUUGUAAAGCUCUGUUAUACGGGACGAAUAAUCUUGUGGUUAAUACCCAGGAGAAGUGACGGUACCGUAAGAGAAAGCCACGGCUAACUACGUG
rnacentral:rRNA from 1 species